rnacentral:rRNA from 1 species
GAUGAACGCUGGCGGCGUGCCUAACACAUGCAAGUCGAGCGAACAGACCAUGAUCUUGCUCCUUUGACGUUAGCGGCGGACGGGUGAGUAACACGUGUAUAACCUACUUAUAAGUCUGGGAUAAUCUCGGGACACCGGAGCUAAUACCGUAUAAUAUACUGAACCGUAUUGUUCAAUAGUGAAAGACGGCUUUGCUGUCACUUAUAGAUGGAUACGGGCCGCAUUAUCUAGUUGUGAGGUUUACGGCUUAUCAAGGCAACGAGGCGUAGCCGACCUGAGAGGGGGAUAGGCCACACGAGAACGGAGACAGGGACCAGGGUCCUAAGGGAGGGAGCAGUAGGGAAUCUGAGGCAAUGGGCGAAAGCCUGACGGAGCAAGGCCGCGUGAGUGAUGAAGGUGUUCGGAGCGUAAAGCUCUGUUAUUGGGGAAGAACAGAUGUCGAAGUAGCUAAAGACGUCUUGACGGUACCUAAUCAAGAAGCCCCGGCUAACUACGUG